rnacentral:lncRNA from 1 species
AGACGUGGACUUGUCCUUUUCUCUAGUAGGUCAGCAAAUGGGACAGCUAGGGAAGUCUUGUGGACCGGGGAUGGUUCUGUGGCUUUGACUUGGCCCAGUGUUUCUGAGCCUGGCAGGUGUAUGGUGCCCACAGCCUGGACCCUUCUACUCCUUCCCAGUGGAUCAGAGCAUCUUGAGGAGACUGUGAUGAACGUAAGAAGCGCUGGGCGAACUAAUGCUGAGGAUGUGAAUUUCCUUCUGCCCCCUCAGUCAGUCACCUGAGCUCCUGCCACACCCCCGGACUUGUCCAGGCUUGUACUUUGUUUUCUCCCACUGUGAGGUCAGGUCUUUGCCAGGAUUCACAUGCCUUUAAGGCCCACUCUCAGUGCCCUCUGGUGACCACACAUACCAUUCUCCCACCCCCAGCUAGCCGGCAGCUGUAACAGCAGAAGGGCAGGGUGAAAUGAGCCAAAGGUUGGGGGCAGAGCAGACUGAGUAGGUGACAGAGGAGGGAAAGAAAGAGCAUUGGGUGGACUGAGGGAUUAGGACUAAUUAAUGUAAAUAAAAACUAACUCACAGGC